rnacentral:lncRNA from 1 species
AGGGGUAAACAGAUGAUCAGUUGACUUGUUUAUUUUUCGUUUACUCUGGUUUAACCUCACUUAACUAGAUAUAUCGAGAAAUAUUAAAUUACUAUUAUUCAGGUUGAAAAACGCCUUCCUCUAAGGUAAAAGGUUGUGAAGUCGAUUGGGGAAAAAUAAUGUGAAAAUGAAUUCUUUCCCAAAAGAAUCUGAACGACGGAAAGUGUGGAUUAAGAAUAUAGGGUUAAAACAAGAUCCAAACAAAUAUGCUGUUGUUUGUGAAGAACACUACUUCUGACAUGUGGAAAAAAGUUAGACAAGAUGGCAGCAGAAAAUUAAAAUGCAAUGCUGUACCAACAAUAUUUAGAGAAGAAAGCGAAAAUAUUUAAUUAUUUAUAUUGGUUUUUUGUUUAUUCACCAAUUUAACACCUAUAGAUAUUUGUAUAACAAGAGAGUGAAGUGCACCUUUUCCUCCCAAGAAUAAAGUUUACAUAGUUUACUACAGACUACAGUAAUCAUUCAAGGGAGGAAAAGGCACUUCUCCCAUUUUAUACAUUUUUCCACCUCCCUCAAAUAAGUCAUUUUUUCAUUUUUAAAAUAUUUAUAUAACUGUUGAUUGAAUACGUGAAUCAUAAUUGAAUACAGGAAUUUUUGUAUUCAAUCAACAAUAGAACUAACAAAAUUUAUUAGAGAACUAAAACUAACAAGUAGGUACAGUAUAACUAUCAAAUUAUUAAUGAAAAAUUUUUAAAUCAAAAUAACAAUUUACUGUUAUUACCAUUUUGCAACAUCUAUAAAUAAAAUUUAAAAUGUAUGGAUACUUACCUAAUAGAAAAUAGAGUAAUAGUAUAGGGUGUCAAUAAGUUAUUUCAUCUAUGCUAUGACAUAGUAUGACGUCAACAUCACUUUUACUUUUAUUCCCUAGGGAUUAAAAGUACUUUGUUUCCCUAGGGAGAAAAAAAUAUGACUAUGCUCCCUACAAUGAGGCCAGGAAAUGUAUACUUUGGAUAGAGGUAGGUGGGAAAAUCUGUUUUAUUCAGUUAUUGUGAUUUGUUUCUUACAGACAAUCGGUUUGUUCUAGCACGAGUUUCAAACGGUCUGAAACUAUUAGCGAAUAGUGGACCAGCGUGAGUAGAGGGGAUAGCACUCAUAACUGUAUUAUGUUCUCUCACUGACCAACUGUUUGCUGACUAGUUCGACUGUUUGCUAGAACAAACCUAUUAUUCAAACAAAAUGUCCUCUACGUCAGACUGAUCAGAAUUUUAAAAAUGUGUCAUAUCAAUCAAAUCAAAAAAUUUCAAAAAUUGUUCCUGUAACCAUUUUUAGUGGAAAUAAUAACAGUACUUAUAUUGGAUCAGAGAGCCACCCAUUUCAUUGUUAAAGUAUGAUAAACUAAAAGUUAAACAAUUAGGCAUGCACUUUAUAUUAUAUUUAAUGAAAUAUAACCCACUGGUACUCGUACAAACUUGACGGCAAGCAAAUAAAUUCAACAAAUUUUUCCUCAUUUAUUAGUUUUUCACUACCGUUAAGUUUGGAAACAAGCACUGUUGCCAAAUAAAAACAUAUACAGUCGGAAAAAUGAAAGAAUACCCAUGAACGAUCACAUCAAUCACAUAUUUUGUAUUUGCUGUUUUUUUUUCAUAAAUAAUAAAUGAGAGAGAUAGAUUAUUAAUAAUCUGAAUAAUAUGUGAUUGAUGUGAUCGUUCAUGGGUAUUCUUUCAUUUUUAGGACGGUAUGUAUUUACCACAGCAACUACAGGUGACACUGUUUCUCUUUGUCUUUAAGAGUGUGAAACAAAGAUAACUACAGUGGGAAAAAUAAAGAAUACCCAUGAACGAUCACAUCGAUCUCUUAUUUUGUGUUUCCUAUCUUUUUCUAUAACAAACGUUUAUUAUUUAUAGAAAAAGACAACAAACAUAAAUUAAGUGAUUGAUGUGAUCGUUCAUGGGUAUUCUUUCAUUUUUCCAACUGUAUCUAAUAUACGCUGAGCUCGUAGGUAGAGGGGAUAAUUAAAAAAUCGCGAGAGCCAGUAGUGACAAGUCUGUAAACCUUUACUGGAAAUUUGACAUAAAUGUCAAAGUGAAUAAUUUAAAAUUGAAAUUAAAAACAUUAAUUAGAAAAAAUAUUAGUUGGUCAAAGCUGUGGUAUAUAUUUUUAUCUUAAGUAUACUUACGGUUUAAAUACUGAAUUAAGUUUUUUAAUAUUUUGUAAUAUCUAAUUAUAAUUAGAUAUAAAUCAUCUAAGCGCCAUCUACACGAUAAUUGUGAAUGUAUCUGAAGUAAGAAAUUAAUAUUUCAUUAAGAGAACGUUAAAACAGUUAGCAAAAUUUUUAAAAAAUCGAUUACAAUUUAAUUACUUUUUUGCGUUGUAAAUAUUAAGCGAUAAAAUUAAAUAAUAAAUUUAAAAAUUACUGGUGAAAGUUGAAUUAGCAAUCCGCUAGAAGCGACACCAGCGAAGCUCAGAGCGUAUAAGUGGGUGCGUUUGGACGACCAUAGCGGCCGACUGUCAGCAGAAAUCGGCUGAGUGGUUGUAUCCAGCUGUGAUAGGGAAAGCUUAGUAAAUCUCUCAGCGGCUGACUUCCAGCGGUGACGUCUGACAGCUACUACUGGCUCAGCUGUCCAGCCGCUGUGGUCAUCCGAACGCACCCAGUGUCAGUCAUGUUUUCCUAUAGUAUAGAAGGCUUAGAUAGGUUAUGUAAGAUUUUUGUUUGUUUAUUUUUUCUUCUUCUUUUGUGGCCUUUGGAAGCUGUGCCCAUUUAGCCAGCAACAUUUCUUAAAAUUAAUGCCUAACUAAACCUACCCUACAAGAAAACCAUUACGAACCUAAACGACCAAUCAAGGAUACGGAAGGGAAAGUAGUUAUUUAAAAAAUAAACUGUUGUUAAAAUAUAAACUAAAUAAAUAAAAUAUAAAUUGAAAACAAUAAUUUGACAUUAUAAAUGUAACCUCCAAUAUUAUGACAGACGUCAGUUACCAUGACAUCAUAUAUUAUACUCGUCACUAAUUCUAGCCAAUGAAAUGCUUGCUAUAAUAGGAAUGGCAUAUCAAAAAAAUCUGACUAUUCUCUAUAUAUUUUUUCAAAUUUAGAAUAUGGCAACAAGGGGAAAGUUAUGUGCAUUCCUCAUUGUUUGACUUUUCCUAUAUCUUUAGUAUCAGGUCAUCGUACAAUACAAAUACUUCCUGCAAUGAUUGGAAGUAAUGCAGAACAAGAAUUGAAUUUGGAAUCGCCGAGAAAAAGGAUUGGUGUACAAAAUAAGAAAGUUUAUAAAGGACAACAAACAUCUUCCAUAAGCGAUCAAAAUUGUAUAACUGAAAUUCAGGAAAUAGAUUCUGCUCCACCUUUAGGUAUAAAAAAUAUUUUGACAUUUUUUUUAUUUAAUACACAAUUUAAUUUACCAUCUGAUCAUGAAGCUAUAAGUAAAUGGUGUGAAUAUUGAACACAUGAGGGAGAAGCUGCCAUGUGGCAACUCUCCUGUAUAAUACAUUUUAUAUUAGUUCACAUAAAUAGUUAAUUUAUUAAGUCUGUUGGCCAUGGUUUCUUCAGUCACCUUUCAAAUCCAGGAGGGGUAUUUAGCAGUCUUGAUUCGUUACUUGGAUGAUCCGUUGUCCAUCAAGGAAGUUUCUUGUGAUUAUUCUAAUUUCUUCCUCUACCAAGGAUGUGGCAGAGUCAUCUUGUAUAGAGUUUUGUUCAAGUGUAAACACUUUUUUGCGCCAGUCCAGAGCUGUCUGCCAGCGCUGUCUUGAAUAGAAAGGUGGUCUAUUUUUCAUGCCACUGGCAUUCCAGUGAGACUGGCACCAGUUUCUGGAUACAUGUAAACGUUACUUUAUUUUAUGUAAAUAUUAUUUUCAUUCUAGAAUCAAAGGGAGACUCUUUUAACAGGUAAAUGACGCUAUCAUUCUUUUUGUUCUAGAAAAACUGUAAAUAGUAUUUAAGGCAACGAUUGUGAAUGAGUGAGAAGUCUAAUAAAGCCACGACGAGAUACUGUAUUAGAGCAUACGAUUUUGAGGUAUUUUUGAUUAGAUAAAUUUUGUAAAGUACAAUAUAAAUUAGAUUUGAUAAUGUGUAGUAUUUCCUAAUAAAUUAAAUACUAUUAAGUGUUUAUUGUUCUUGUAAGUUAGUGUGGUAAAUAAAUAAUAUGAAGUAA